UGGUGGCGCAGGAGAGUGACGGGUAGGAGAGUCUUCAUCAGUCAUUUAAGUUUCUCUCUAAAGGCGUUUCCUCUUUUUGGCUUCAAAACCUCCACUCAAUCCUCUCCAGAUCUCACUCUCCGAUCUACGAAUCUCGUCUUCUCCGUUCAGCCACCUCGCCGGAGAAAGCGGAUAUUAGUAGCGGUGAAGUAAAUUCCUGCUUCGAUCUCUCACAUCUCAAGUCCGAUCUGGGUUUGAAGAAACAGAUACAAAGAUUCGAUUUUAGGGGGGUGAGAAGAAUGGCGGAAUCAGGAGGAGGAGGAGGGUGGAGAGAUUCGUAUAGAGGGAUGUCCUCUGAUAACAUAAAGGGCUUGGUGCUGGCCAUUUCCUCUAGCUUAUUCAUCGGAGCUAGCUUCAUCGUUAAGAAGAAAGGUCUCAAGAAAGCAGGAGCCACUGGCACUAGGGCUGGUGUUGGUGGGUACUCUUAUCUUUACGAGCCUCUUUGGUGGAUUGGCGUGACAACAAUGUUACUUGGUGAGAUUGCCAAUUUUGCUGCUUAUGCAUUUGCACCUGCUAUACUUGUUACUCCUCUAGGCGCUCUCAGUAUCAUUAUCAGUGCUGUCUUAGCUCAUAUCAUACUACUGGAGAAGCUACACAUCUUUGGAGUUCUUGGCUGCGCCUUAUGUGUUGUGGGUUCCACCACAAUCGUCCUACAUGCCCCUCAAGAACAAGAGAUUGGUUCUGUGCUUGAAGUUUGGAAUCUUGCAACAGAGCCAGCGUUCAUGUUCUAUGCGAGCCUAAUCAUUGGGGCAGCUGUGUUUCUCAUCUUCCGUUAUGUGCCUCAAUAUGGACAGACAAACGUAAUGGUCUACAUCGGUAUUUGUUCGCUUGUAGGAUCAUUAUCGGUAAUGAGCGUUAAAGCACUUGGAAUAGCACUGAAGCUGACAUUUUCUGGAACAAAUCAAUUAUUUUAUCCUCAAACUUGGGUAUUUACAUUGGUUGUACUUACCUGUGUUGUAACCCAAUUGAACUACUUAAACAAGGCACUUGAUACAUUCAAUACAGCUAUAGUAUCUCCUAUAUACUACGUAAUGUUCACAUCACUAACUAUAUUGGCCAGUGUUAUCAUGUUUAAGGACUGGGAUAGGCAAAAUGGCACUCAAAUUGUCACAGAGAUGUGUGGAUUUGUUACAAUACUUUCAGGCACUUUUCUUCUCCAUAGAACCAAGGACAUGGUCGAGGGUAACAAAAUCUAUACUCUCUACCUGCUAUGACUAUGAGGAAGACUAAUAUGCAUAAUCCUAGCUAGAGUUCAUUCAUGAUUGACAAAAAGAUUGCCAUCCGGUUCACCGGUUAUAUUACCAGUGCGUAUAAGCAAGCAUGCUGAUGAGGAUGGGUUUGAAUCAGAAGGCAUUCCACUUAGACGCCAAGAAUCUCUCCGGUCACCUUAAAAGAGUUAUUGCUCAGCCAGAGAGGCUCAACUUUUUUUAUUAUCUCAAUCUACUAUGAACAUGGUCCUAACGAAUACAGAUGGUUCAAGGAGAUGGAGGAAAGUAAAAAAAGAAGCAAAAGAGAACGAGAUCUCACAUAUCUUUCUUAUUCUUGGUAAAUAGGCUGUUACUUGUUCAAACAUACGGUAUUAGCACACACCCACGCAUAAACCCUUUUGUGACCUUCAAGAUUUUUUUUUAUAAAACAGACAUGGGUUGUGCUUAAAUUUGUCUUUUACAAGCAAAUAGUUAUCACUUAAAGUUUUCAAUUCAA